rnacentral:rRNA from 1 species
GGGCCCGCACAAGCGGUGGAGUAUGUGGUUUAAUUCGAUGCAACGCGAAGAACCUUACCAGGGUUUGACAUCCUGCGAAUCUCUUGGAAACAGGAGAGUGCCUUCGGGAACGCAGUGACAGGUGGUGCAUGGCUGUCGUCAGCUCGUGUCGUGAGAUGUUGGGUUAAGUCCCGCAACGAGCGCAACCCACGUCUUUAGUUGCCAGCAUUUAGUUGGGCACUCUAGAGAGACUGCCGGUGAUAAACCGGAGGAAGGUGUGGAUGACGUCAAGUCAUCAUGCCCCUUACAUCCUGGGCUACACACGUACUACAAUGCUACGGACAAAGGGCAGCAAGUUCGCGAGGAC